GCCAUAUCAUGUUGAAACACCUGUUCUCAUACGAUCAGUGAAUUUAAGCAAUGUUGAGCCUGGUUAGUACCUAGAUUGGUGACUUCUUAGGAAUACCAGGUACUGUA